UGGGGAAUAUUGGACAAUGGGCGAAAGCCUGAUCCAGCCAUGCCGCGUGUGUGAAGAAGGUCUUCGGAUUGUAAAGCACUUUAAGUUGGGAGGAAGGGCAGUAAGCGAAUACCUUGCUGUUUUGACGUUACCGACAGAAUAAGCACCGGCUAACUCUGUGCCAGCAGCCGCGGUAAUACAGAGGGUGCAAGCGUUAAUCGGAAUUACUGGGCGUAAAGCGCGCGUAGGUGGUUCGUUAAGUUGAAUGUGAAAGCCCCGGGCUCAACCUGGGAACUGCAUCCAAAACUGGCGAGCUAGAGUAGGGCAGAGGGUGGUGGAAUUUCCUGUGUAGCGGUGAAAUGCUUAGAUAUAGGAAGGAACACCAGUGGCGAAGGCGACCACCUGGGCUCAUACUGACACUGAGGUGCGAAAGCGUGGGGAGCAAACAGG
rnacentral:rRNA from 1 species